UCCUACGGGAGGCAGCAGUGGGGAAUAUUGGACAAUGGGCGAAAGCCUGAUCCAGCCAUGCCGCGUGUGUGAAGAAGGUCUUCGGAUGUAAAGCACUUUAAGUUGGGAGGAAGGGCAGUUACCUAAUACGUGAUGUGUGACGUACCGACAGAUAGCUCCGAUUCGGACC
rnacentral:rRNA from 2 species